AUUGCCCUAGUAACGGCGAGUGAAGCGGCAACAGCUCAAAUUUGAAAUCUGGCUCUCUUUGGGGGUCCGAGUUGUAAUUUGCAGAGGAUGCUUUGGCAUUGGCGGCGGUCUAAGUUCCUUGGAACAGGACAUCGCAGAGGGUGAGAAUCCCGUACGUGGGCGCCUGCCUUUGCCGUGUAAAGCUCCUUCGACGAGUCGAGUUGUUUGGGAAUGCAGCUCUAAAUGGGAGGUAAAUUUCUUCUAAAGCUAAAUACCGGCCAGAGACCGAUAGCGCACAAGUAGAGUGAUCGAAAGAUGAAAAGUACUUUGGAAAGAGAGUCAAAAAGCACGUGAAAUUGUUGAAAGGGAAGCGCUUGCAGCCAGACUUGCCCGCAGUUGCUCACCUAGGCUUUGGCCUGGGGCACUCUUCUGCGGGCAGGCCAGCAUCAGUUUGGGCGGUUGGAUAAAGGCCUCUGUCACGUAUCUUCCUUCGGGAUGACCUUAUAGGGGAGGCGUAAUGCAACCAGCCCGGACUGAGGUCCGCGCAUCUGCUAGGAUGCUGGCGUAAUGGCUGUAAGCGGCCCGUCUUGAAACACGGACCAAGGAGUCUAACAUCUAUGCGAGUGUUUGGGUGUCAAGCCCGGGCGCGCAAUGAAAGUGAACGGAGGUGGGAACCCUUUGGGUGCACCAUCGACCGAUCCUGAUGUCUUCGGAUGGAUUUGAGUAAGAGCAUAGCUGUUGGGACCCGAAAGAUGGUGAACUAUGCUUGAAUAGGGUGAAGCCAGAGGAAACUCUGGUGGAGGCUCGCAGCGGUUCUGACGUGCAAAUCGAUCGUCAAAUUUGGGCAUAGGGGCGAAAGACUAAUCGAACCAU
rnacentral:rRNA from 3 species